rnacentral:rRNA from 1 species
CCUACGUGAGGCAGCAGUGAGGAAUAUUGGUCAAUGGACGAGAUCCUGAACCAGCCAAGCAGCGUGAAGGAUGACUGCCCUAUGGGUUGUAAACUUCUUUUAUAUGGGAAUAAAACCUUCCACGUGUGGGUUUUUGUGUGUAUCAUAUGAAUAAGGAUCGGCUAACUCCGUUCCAGCAGCCGCGGUAAUACGGAAGAUCCGAGCGUUAUCCGGAUUUAUUGGGUUUAAAGGGUGCGUAGGUGGGUUGUUAAGUCAGUUGUGAAAGUUUGGGGCUCAACCGUAAAAUUGCAGUUGAAACUGGCAGUCUUGAGUACGGGAGAGGUAGGCGGAAUGCGUGGUGUAGCGGUGAAAUGCGUAGAUAUCGCGAAGAACUCCGAUUGCGAAGGCAGUUCACUGGACUGAGACUGACGCUGAGGCACGAAAGUGUGGGUAUCAAACAGGAUUAGAUACCCUUGUAGUC